rnacentral:rRNA from 1 species
UACGUAGGGCGCAAGCGUUGUCCGGAAUUAUUGGGCGUAAAGAGCUCGUAGGCGGUCUGUCACGUCUGCCGUGAAAACCCGAGGCUUAACCUCGUGGCUUGCGGUGGAUACGGGCAGACUAGAGGUAGGUAGGGGAGAAUGGAAUUCCCGGUGUAGCGGUGAAAUGCGCAGAUAUCGGGAGGAACACCGGUGGCGAAGGCGGUUCUCUGGGCCGAUACUGACGCUGAGGAGCGAAAGCGUGGGGAGCGAACAGG